ACGAGUAAAGAAGACAAGAUUUACGAGUAAUUAUUGCUAAGGGCAGUGUGUACAAAGUGGUAACGAAAUGAGGAUUUAUAGGUUGUAAUUAUUACUAUGGGUAUUUUCUAAUGACUCUAUAUCCUUAGUAAGUUCAUACCCGGAUUUAUCUAUUAUUCGUAUUUCAAAGUCAGCCAGAGCAUCCUAAAAAUUACAUAAGCUGGCGUGUUCUCUUAGGUUUGAAGAAAAAACUCAAGAAUCGCUUAAUAAAUAAGACACUGACGAUUAUGAUGCUGACAAUUAUGUUUUUUACAGUUAUUUAAAUAUUAUAUUAUAUUUUAGGACUACUGUAAUAUUUUUUAAUUUUUGUUCGUUUUUACCUGUAAGUAAUCUCUUAGAACGUAUGGUCUAUUUGGUGUGCAGUGUGUGUGUUGCAAGAUGACUUCAUGGCUAUGCUUUUGUUGAUUGUAAUGACAAGCGAGAUGCUCAGGAUGCCAUCCACGAACUUGAUGUUUAGGAGUUCUCAUAUAUUAAUGACUAAACCAAAUAAGAAUGGGGGAGAGUAGAAAUGUCCAAUAACUUUAGAGGAUCAUGUGGUGGUGGCGGCGAUGGCAGUGUAGGGCAUGGUGGAGGUCGUGGUCGCUCUAGAGUUACUGAAAGUUUAAACCGAGGUCAUCAGAUGUAUGGAAAAAUGAUUUCGAUGAUGUACCUGGGAGAAAUUCUUCGUAGAGUUAUGUAGGGUGCCUGAAGAGGCUGUCCUUUUUCUUGACACGCUGCCCCCGAAACUAAAAAGUCUGUUUGUGUUGAGGUCAUCAUAUGUCCGAGUCUCGCUUACUACAUCAAGUUAUUCCUGGCUGGUGGAUGACGGUCUAAAGUUAUUUGAAUCAAUCGAGGCAGAGUAUAACAUCGUUCCGUCACUUGAGCAUUACUGUUGCGUUUUAGAUAUGUUAGGGAGAGAUGGUAGUGUGUCAGAAGCUUACGAUUUUGUUGAAAGAUUUGGGGAAAAGGUAAUUAUUUGAAAGUUUAGGGUUUACUUUUGGGCUCUUGCAGAACCCAUGAGAAUUUCGAUUGGCGAAAGUUGUUGCGAGUAAGUUGGUUGAAAUGGGUCUGGUAAAUAAGAAUGCGGGUUAUCAUGCGUUGUUGUCAAAUAUAUAUCCGGGUUCUAAAAAUUGCUAUAAAAUCAUUUGUACAAUAACAUCUCAAUACCUAUAAAAAAUGAAUCAAAACAUAUUUACCUAAGUGAGAAAAAUCAUAUUUUUAUACGUUUAUAUUGAAAAGUUCUUUCAUUACAAAGUUCAUCUCAUUGCCAGUAUAUAUUAUAUGUUUGUGUUAAACCACCCGCGAAGCUCGCGGGA